CCCCUAGUACGGCGAGUGAAGCGGGAACAGCUCAAAUUUGAAAUCUGGCCCUUGGGUCCGAGUUGUAAUUUGCAGAGGAUGCUUUUGGUGCGGUGCCUUCCGAGUUCCCUGGAACGGGACGCCUUAGAGGGUGAGAGCCCCGUACGGUUGGCCACCAAGCCUGUGUAAAGCUCCUUCGACGAGUCGAGUAGUUUGGGAAUGCUGCUCAAAAUGGGAGGUAUAUUUCUUCUAAAGCUAAAUACUGGCCAGAGACCGAUAGCGCACAAGUAGAGUGAUCGAAAGAUGAAAAGCACUUUGAAAAGAGGGUUAAAUAGCACGUGAAAUUGUUGAAAGGGAAGGAUUUAUGACCAGACUUUUUCUGGGGGGAUCAUCCGGUGUUCUCACCGGUGCACUUCCCCCAGUUGAGGCCAGCAUCGGUUUCUGCCGGGGGAUAAAAGCUUCGGGAAUGUGGCUCCUUCGGGAGUGUUAUAGCCCGUUGCAUAAUACCCUGGCGGGGACCGAGGUUCGCGCAUUGCAAGGAUGCUGGCGUAAUGGUUAUUAAUCACCCGUCUUGAAACACGGACCAAGGAGUCGAACAUUUGUGCGAGUGUUUGGGUGUUAAACCCUCACGCGUAAUGAAAGUGAACGGAGGUGAGAGCCCCUCGGGGUGCAUCAUCGACCGAUCCUGAUGUCUUCGGAUGGAUUUGAGUAAGAGCAUAACUGUUCGGACCCGAAAGAUGGUGAACUAUGCGUGGAUAGGGUGAAGCCAGAGGAAACUCUGGUGGAGGCUCGCAGCGGUUCUGACGUGCAAAUCGAUCGUCAAAUCUGCGCAUGGGGGCGAAAACUAUCGA
rnacentral:rRNA from 1 species